CCUACGGGUGGCAGCAGUAGGGAAUAUUGGUCAAUGGACGGAAGUCUGAACCAGCCAUGCCGCGUGCAGGAAGAAGGUCCUCUGGAUUGUAAACUGCUUUUGUCAGGGAAUAAAAUUGGGUUAAGACCUAAUUGAAGGUACCUGGAGAAUAAGCACCGGCUAACUCCGUGCCAGCAGCCGCGGUAAUACGGAGGGUGCAAGCGUUGUCCGGAUUUAUUGGGUUUAAAGGGUGCGUAGGCGGCCAAUUAAGUCAGUGGUGAAAGACUCCCGCUCAACGGGAGAACUGCCAUUGAUACUGAAGGGCUAGCGUACAGUUGAGGUAGUUGGAAUGAGUAGUGUAGCGGUGAAAUGCAUAGAUAUUACUCAGAACACCGAUUGCGAAGGCAGAUUACUAAGCUGUUACGGACGCUGAGGCACGAAAGCGUGGGGAUCAAACAGGAUUAGAUACCCUGGUAGUC
rnacentral:rRNA from 1 species